UACGAAGGGAGCUAGCGUUGUUCGGAAUCACUGGGCGUAAAGCGCACGUAGGCGGAUGUGUCAGUCAGGGGUGAAAUCCCGGAGCUCAACUUCGGAACUGCCUUUGAUACAGCACGUCUUGAGUCCGAUAGAGGUGGGUGGAAUUCCUAGUGUAGAGGUGAAAUUCGUAGAUAUUAGGAAGAACACCGGUGGCGAAGGCGGCCCACUGGCCCGGUACUGACGCUGAGGCACGAAAGCGUGGGGAGCAAACAGG
rnacentral:rRNA from 1 species